CACAGAGUGUUUGUUGUGGGGGAGGAAGGGAAAGGAGAAUGUUGGCUGCUUUGAGACUCCUUAGGGUAGUGAUAAAGCAGGAUAUCAAAUCCAUUCUCCUUUCCCUUCCCUUCCUCCCCCACAACAAACACUCUGUGA